ACAAGAUAAGAUCCAGUUUCCUUACAUACCAGAAGUCGGCCUAAAUAGUGCCCAAUUCUCUGCAUACCAUGCCCAGAGUGGUGAAGUGUUUGAUCCUCCAAAUCUCUAAGGAUGGAAAAGCAAACUGAGAGCAACCUCAUCUGCUCUUGAGAAAGAGAAAGAAAAGACAGGAACUAGUCCAACAGUUGAACUGCACUGAAUAGUUUAAUGCUACCCUUUUAACAGCUGGAAAUUUUUCAUGGAAUGGUUCCAACCACUCCUCAACUUGGGAAAAAAUCAUUCAGGGACCUUCUGCCUUACAAGCAAUUCAUAACCCCUGGCAAAGUUGAAUCUAAAAAAUAUACAACGUGCCUAUGAGUCAUCCUUAAAAUACUUUUCUUCAAUAAGCUUCUGUAAUGGGGAAAAAUUAUCAUUCCACACAAGCUUCUGAGACUUGUUACCACUUUGCAGAUUGAAUAACCCUUGGAGACAAGGCAAUCUACCGGCUAGACAGCCUGGAAACAGCUUCCAGACCAAUCAGCUGCUGGGAAACAGUUUUUGGCCCAAUCACCCACCUGGAAACUGUACAUGGACCACUCGCUGUCUUCUAAGAACCACUUCUCCUAAAAUCUGCCACUGCUGCCUUGCAAACCAAACCAGAGAGAGAAAAUAUACCUGAAUUAUUUCUACACUGACCUUGUGAGUCCCAGCCCAUCUGUGCCCUUUUGACAAGUGCUUCGAACUCCAUGCCCCUCAGUGGAAUUCAUUCUGUAUUGAAUAAUUUUUUGGCCAAGCCCUAUCCUUUGUGGAAAGAGGUGAUUGCCAACCUUAGCUGCACAUUGGAAUCACCUGGGGAAUAUUAAAAAUCUUGAUGCCCAGGCUUCACCCUGGACCAAUUAAAUCAGAAUUUCUGUCAUCAGUCUUUAUUAAAGUUCCAUAGAUUAUUCUAGUGUGUGUCAGGGAGCAAGAAUGUCCUGCCCCCUUCAAGGUCUUUGUAGCUGGACUAAGAAUCAAAUUGACACGAGACAGAUUAACAGGAGAAAAUAAAAUUUAAUAGCAUUCCUAGGGGGAAUCCACUCAGACAUGGAAAUAAGGUAUAUAUGUCAUUCUGAAUUAAGGAGAAGGGAGUAGAAGUCUGGGAUUUCAAAAGGAAAAAAUGCAAUUCACAGGAAAAUGAAAAGGAGUGCAUGUUUGGUAAACAAAUGUUUGCUGGGCCACUCAAAAACAAGGAGACACAGAGGACUUUGAUCAAACAGGCCUUGCUGGAUUCCUCCCUGUCUACCAUAUCUAGUUCCUAGUGUAAUGUAGUUCUUUAUGGUGAUAGCUCUCUUCUUGGAGCAGAUCCUCUAUCUAAAUGCUUUUUAGGCAGUUGAGGGGGGAGGUAAAGAACUUUUCCUAAACCUGUUGGAUUUCGAUUGCUUUUUAACUCAAAAUAAUCUUCAUGCCAUAAUGGCCUACGCUUGGGGCAGCCUACCUUUGGCCUCUACCUAUGCAUCUUAAGUUGAAAACAACUGCCUAACUAGAUCUUAAGAACUUGCCAAAGGCAAACGAUUUCUUGCAUUUUGCAUUAUCUCACCCUGCCCUGCCUAGACAGUUUUUCUGCCCAGCCCUGGCAAUCAGUUGAUAGUAAACACACAGGGAGUUUCAGCAAGGUGCCUGGGAUCUGGGGUAAGAUCAGGACUACGUCACCCUCUGAGCUCAGUAAGGGAAUAUGGAAUAGUUGUAAGAGCUUGUUAUUGUGGACUCGGGUCUGUGUUUGAGGUUUAUCUCUAUCACUGUCUAACUCUCUGUCCUAAACUAAGUUAAAUGUAAAAUGGGGAAAUAAAAGUAUCUGUUUGAGAGGAUGUCAUGAAGAUCACAUUAGAUAGUAAUAAGUAAAGCACUUAGCCUGGCCCUGGGUACUUGCUCCAUAAAUAGCCAACUAAGAAUAAACACAAAAUUGUUGAGAUGACCCACUUGCAAAAGUAAUCCUUCCUAAGAGAUGAUUUGUAACAUUAGCAGGGCUUAGGAAGUAACCUGCAGUGACAGUGUUCAAAGUGUAUCCUCAGGCCUGUUAUUUAACUCAACAGAAAUGUAAUCGAAUCAACCCUCCUGUAACUUGAACAUUUCAAGUAACAUUAUAGUAAUGGAAGUGUCCUUGCCUGCACAGUCGAUAAAAAGAAGAAGGGGCACCUGGAUGGCUCAGUGGGUUAAGAGUCCAACUUCAGCUCAGGUCAUGAUCUCACAGUUGGUGAGUUUGAGCCCCGCAUCGGGCUCUGUGCUGACAGCUCAGAGCCUAGAGCCUCUCUUUCUGCUCCUGUGCCGCUUGCGCUCUGUGGUGGGACCAUUUUUAUUCAAGCUUUUGGGAGACUCUCUUGGAUUAUUGGAAUGAUAAGAAAGAAACUGCACUGCUAGUUCAGCUGCAACUUGACUCUUUAGAAUCAAUAGCCAUUUUGGAUUCAGGAAAUCCUUGGAGAAUAUCAAACCUUACCCUAUUACAAAGCCUCCUGGAUCUGGGAGUUAGAACUAUACAUAUAGCAGCCUGGUCUUUUGUCCUUGAGAAACCUCCUCUCAAAACCCAGCACAUAGUAGGAAAAACUUUUCAAAAUCUAGUUACAUUUACAUUUUAGUUUGUUAGGGCAAGAACUUCUGUUUUUAAUUAACCUCUGCUGGUCUCCAUCUGCAUACAGGACACACAGUGAACUUGAUUCUUCCAGUAUCUACAAGAAGCCUUAGGAAUAAAUCAAUUAUAGAUCUAUUAACUCUGUUAGCUCUUUCAAGUUAUACAGCUGCUGGCUCAUGACAUUUCACUUUGCACCUGCCUCUCCAUCCCCAGCUAGGCAUCUUACCAAUAUGUAUCGCUGGUCAUAAAUGAAAAUAGAAAUUUCUUCUGCUAUGGAUAUAAAGGGAGGGACUAAAUCCGCUCUAAAAAAUAGUCUUUUUUAUAUUCCCCAGAAAAUAAACUAUUAUUUAAUGAUUCCAACUAUUUUCUAAAUGAUGCCUUCAUAUCCUCAAUGUAAUUGCAACCCUUUAAUAAGCUUUAUUUAAUAAAUAAUACUCCUGAGGCUUGAGAGAACUCAUAUAGGAGUUAACACGCAUAAUUUAUUGCCCAGGGUAUGGAUAAUAUAGACUCUCAAAAUUGUAAUUUGUCAUCAGUAUAUACUAUGAGUAUAACAUACAGUGACAAUUUUUUCUUUUUUAAAAACUUUUUUAAUGUUUAUUUAUUUUUGAGAGAGAGAGACAGAGACAGAGAUGGAGCACAAGUAGGGGAGGGGCAAAGAGAGAGGAAGACAUAGAAUCUGAAACAGGCUCAGCUCUGAGCUGUCAGCACAGAGCCCAAUGUGGGGCUCAAACUCACAAACCUGUGAGAUCAUGACCUGAGCCAAAAUCAGACACAAAACCAACUGAGCCACCCAGGAGCCCCUGACAAUUUUUUCACAUACAUUCCUAGUUGUUUCAUAUACAUCCCUAGUUGUUCCAGUCACAUUUGUUGACAUGACUGUCAUUUUCCCCAUUGAGUUUCCCUAGCACCUUUGUUGAAAAUCAGUUAAUUGUAUAUGUGUGAGUCUAUUUCUGGAUUCUAUUGUGUUCCAUUGAUCUAUUUACACCAAUAUUACACUGUCUUGAUGACUGUAGAGCUUCUUAGUAAUCUUGAAAUCAGGUAGUAAAGUCUUUCGACAUUGUCCUUUUUCAAGAUCAUUUUAGCUGUUCUGUAUCCUUUGCAAUUUCACAUAAACUUUACUACCAGCUUGUAAAUUUCUUUUAAAAUGAUCCUGCUUGAAUUUUGACUGGAUGGCUGUAACUCUAUAGAUCAAUUUACAGAGGGUAGGCAUAAUACAACUAUGGAGGCUUCCAAUUCAUGAACAAUUAACCACUCCAUUUAUUUAGACAUU